ensembl:rRNA 5S_rRNA 5S ribosomal RNA
GUCUACGGCCAUACCACCCUGUACACAUCCGAUAUCAUCUGAUCCUGGAAGCUAAGCAGGGUCGGGCCUGGUUAGUACUUGGAUGGAAGACUGCCUGGGAAUACCAGGUGCUGUAGGCU